AGUUUCUCAGGGUGAUGAGGACGAUCGACGACAGAAUCGUCCACGAAUUAAACACUACGAUUCCAACUGCUUCCUUUGUGGGGAAGAUUGAUGCCAGCCAGACGUGUAAAGAACUGUACCAGUCUUUGAUGGAUGCUCACACCAACAGAGAGAGAAUCAUCAAAAACUGCAUUGCUCAGACUUCCAGCGUAGUGAAAACUCUCAGAGAAGAGAGGGAAAAGGCCCAGGAUGACGCAGCGUUAUUAAAGCAACUCAGGAAAGAGCAGACAAAGGUGAUGAAUGAAAUGUUUGUUCUUGUGCUCUUCAGAGAAGUGCUCUGUCAUGAGCUCAGAUUUAAAGAACCAGGUGGCAGUUGAAAUUGAUGCAGUCGGAGCUGAAUGUGGAAGAAGUGGUAAACGACAGAAGCUGGAAGGUAUUUAAUGAACGUUGCCGAAUUCACUACAAGCCUCCGAAGAGUCAAUGAUGUGGGGUAUUUUCCAUCAAGGUGGUCCAUAACUAUGAGAGCCAAACUGGAAAGAGACCUUGGGUGAGCUGUGUUGUGACCCUCCAGAACCAGUAGAACCCAGUCUUGUUUUGUUUUGGACCUACUUAGCUGAAAUUUCAAGAUUGAAAUGAUUCUCCUGUAAUUAAGAGAAAACAACUCAUCUUUUGUACAAAAUAUGUGAACAAAUGAAUUUUAUAGUAUUAAAAUAAUUUUCAAAUG